rnacentral:rRNA from 1 species
AUUGAACGCUGGCGGUAGGCUUAACACAUGCAAGUCGAGCGGGGUGAUGGUGCUUGCACUAUCACUUAGCGGCGGACGGGUGAGUAAUGCUUAGGGAUCUGCCUAUUAGUGGGGGACAACAUCUCGAAAGGGAUGCUAAUACCGCAUACGUCCUAUGGGAGAAAGCAGGGGAUCACUUGUGACCUUGCGCUAAUAGAUGAGCCUAAGUCGGAUUAGCUAGUUGGUGGGGUAAAGGCCUACCAAGGCGACGAUCUGUAGCGGGUCUGAGAGGAUGAUCCGCCACACUGGGACUGAGACACGGCCCAGACUCCUACGGGAGGCAGCAGUGGGGAAUAUUGGACAAUGGGGGGAACCCUGAUCCAGCCAUGCCGCGUGUGUGAAGAAGGCCUUAUGGUUGUAAAGCACUUUAAGCGAGGAGGAGGCUCUUUUGGUUAAUACCCAAGAUGAGUGGACGUUACUCGCAGAAUAAGCACCGGCUAACUCUGUGCCAGCAGCCGCCGUAA